rnacentral:rRNA from 1 species
UACGUAGGGGGCAAGCGUUGUCCGGAAUCAUUGGGCGUAAAGCGCGUGUAGGCGGCCCGGUAAGUCCGCUGUGAAAGUCGGGGGCUCAACCCUCGAAUGCCGGUGGAUACUGUCGGGCUAGAGUGCGGGAGAGGCGAGUGGAAUUCCUGGUGUAGCGGUGAAAUGCGUAGAUAUCUGGAGGAACACCGGUGGCGAAGGCGGCAUCCUGGACCGACACUGACGCUGAUGCGCGAAAGCCAGGGGAGCAAACGGG